AUUAGCAGCCUGAGAUUUAAUGUUCAUUACCAACUUUCAUUUACUUAGAAAAUUAUAAAUGAUAACUAAUUGGCUCCAUUAAAUAAAUUCCUGACAAAUAUUUUGUUACGCCUCUAUAUAUAAGAAUGAACGAUGUGGCUAGCAAUCGCCAGCUAAUUCUUGGAUGAACAAACACAUAUUGGGCCUCCAAAAGCACUGAUUGUUUAAAGUAAUUCAAGUCUAUGUGCAUGGAGAAGUACACGGAACGUGUGCACCUACUAGUGCCACUCUCGAUACUUCUUCUCGUUUGCUUUGUUGAUCAUGUUCAAUGUGGGAGUAUCGAAGACAUAGGUAACAGGAAGAUCAGUCUACCAUAUGGAUUGUGCGGACCACCUAGAAUAAUUCCAAAAUGCAAUGAUGGCUAUCGUUGGUGUUGUUUCGCGGAUCCCAGAUACUAUUGCUAUCGCACGCCUGAAGAAUGUGAUAAGGAAUGCCGCAAACAUUCUUCACUAAACAUUGUGGCGGCCGCGCCCGCCUCCUCCACCCUCCCACCAAACUGAAAUAUUUGUUCACUAAAAAUAAAAAAGAGUAGCGUAUAUCUUGUUCUUUACAGUUGGAGUUACAUGUUGAGACUCAUAUUAAUCAGAAAACAAAACUAUAUAGUCAUUAAUCUUUAGGGCACCGCUGCAACCUAUGUUCAAGAUAUAAAUAAACUACUUCUCAUGAGGAUUA